rnacentral:lncRNA from 1 species
GAGGUUAGAUUUAGUUUUUAUAAAGGCAACAUUUUGUUUUUGACUAUAAAAUGCUGCCAAAUAUACAGCAUGCAUUCUGCUCCCACUCUGUCCUUGGAAGACACUGAUCAUCGGUCAAAAUAUUCUUCCCUGAGAAGCCACGUAGGUUCUUAACCCUUCUCAACACAGCACAUCAAAUAGAUAGCUGCUAUCAGCUGAAAGUAACUGGUAGCUGAUGUGAAAUCUCUUUGGAAUAACACAUAGAAAAAAAAAAAAGGUGAAUACUCAAUGACUUCAAAUUCUGAUCCAGCUUUGUUGCUGACCAACAACUCUAACAUGCAUGCUGUGGUACUCUGAUAUCUUGUGUGCAAUAGAUAUUCAACAGUUAACUGUUUAUUAGUUAAUAUUUAUUGCCAAACUAUUUUGCC